UACCAGCACCCCGAGUGGUCGGGACGUUUAUUGGGCCUAAAGCAUCCGUAGCCGGUUCUACAAGUCUUCCGUUAAAUCCACCUGCUUAACAGAUGGGCUGCGGAAGAUACUAUGGAGCUAGGAGGCGGGAGAGGCAAGCGGUACUCGAUGGGUAGGGGUAAAAUCCGUUAAUCCAUUGAAGACCACCAGUGGCGAAGGCGGCUUGCCAGAACGCGCUCGACGGUGAGGGAUGAAAGCUGGGGGAGCAAACCGG
rnacentral:rRNA from 1 species